rnacentral:rRNA from 1 species
AGAGUUUGAUCAUGGCUCAGAUUGAACGCUGGCGGCAGGCUUAACACAUGCAAGUCGAGCGGAGCGAGGGUGCUUGCACCUUAGCUUAGCGGCGGACGGGUGAGUAAUGCUUAGGUUUCCCUACUACAGAGGGAUAGCCCAUGGAAACGUGGAUUAAUACCUUAUAGUACAUUUAAACUUCAUGGUUAAAAUGUUAAAGAUUUAUUGGUAGUAGAUGGACAUGCGUCUGAUUAGGUAGUUGGUGAGGUAACGGCUCACCAAGCCAACGAUCAGUAGGGGGUUUGAGAGGAUGAUCCCCCACACUGGAACUGAGACACGGUCCAGACUCCUACGGGAGGCAGCAGUAGGGAAUAUUGGUCAAUGGAGGAAACUCUGAACCAGCCACGCCGCGUGAAGGAAGGAAGAAUGUCCUUAGGAUUAUAAACUACUUUUAUCAGGGAAGAAUGACGAGCAUGCGUGCUCGGAGCGACGGUACCUGAGGAAUAAGCACCGGCUAACUACGUGCCAGCAGCCGCGGUAAUACGUAGGGUGCAAGCGUUAUCCGGAAUUACUGGGUUUAAAGGGUGUGUAGGCGGUCUUUUAAGUCUGUGGUGAAAGGUUACAGCUCAACCUAGGAACUGCAUUCAAGACUGUAUAGCUAGAGUACGGCAGAGGGGGAUGGAAUUCCGCGUGUAGCAGUGAAAUGCGUAGAUAUGCGGAGGAACACCGAUGGCGAAGGCAAUCCCCUGGGCCUGUACUGACGCUCAUGCACGAAGGCGUGGGUAGCGAACAGGAUUAGAUACCCUGGUAGUCCACGCCCUAAACGAUGUCAACUGGUUGUUGGGUCUUCACUGACUUAGUAUCGUAGCUAACGCGAUAAGUUCUCCGCCUGGGGAGUACGGCCGCAAGGUUAAAACUCAAAUGAAUUGACGGGGGCCCGCACAAGCGGUGGAGCAUGUGGUUUAAUUCGACGCAACGCGAAGAACCUUACCUGGGUUUGACAUCCUGUGAAUAUCUGAGAGAUCAGAUAGUGCCUUCGGGAGCACAGAGACAGGUGCUGCAUGGCUGUCGUCAGCUCGUGUCGUGAGAUGUUUGGUUAAGUCCAGCAACGAGCGCAACCCUUAUCGUUAGUUGCCAGCACGUAAUGGUGGGAACUCUAGCGAGACUGCCCGGGUUAACCGGGAGGAAGGCGGGGAUGACGUCAAGUCCUCAUGGCCCUUAUGUCCAGGGCUACACACGUGCUACAAUGGUAAAUACAAAGGGCAGCGAGCGUGCGAGCGUGAGCGAAUCCCAAAAGUUUAUCUCAGUCCGGAUUGGAGUCUGCAACUCGACUCCAUGAAGUUGGAAUCGCUAGUAAUCGUGGAUCAGCAUGCCACGGUGAAUAUGUUCCCGGGCCUUGUACACACCGCCCGUCACACCAUGGGAGUUGAUUAUACCCGACGUCGCUAGGCUAACCCUUCGGGGGGGCAGGCGCCUAAGGUAUGGUUGAUAAUUGGGGUGAAGUCGUAACAAGGUAACC